UUAUCGAUAAGAAGAGAGCGUCUAGGCGAACAAUGUUCUUAAAGUUUGACCUCAAAUCAGGUAGGAGUACCCGCUGAACUUAAGCAUAUCAAUAAGCGGAGGAAAAGAAACCAACCGGGAUUGCCUUAGUAACGGCGAGUGAAGCGGCAAAAGCUCAAAUUUGAAAUCUGGUACCUUUGGUGCCCGAGUUGUAAUUUGGAGAGGGCAACUUUGGGACCGUUCCUUGUCUAUGUUCCUUGGAACAGGACGUCAUAGAGGGUGAGAAUCCCGUGUGGCGAGGAGUGCGGUUCUAUGUAAAGUGCCUUCGAAGAGUCGAGUUGUUUGGGAAUGCAGCUCUAAGUGGGUGGUAAAUUCCAUCUAAAGCUAAAUAUUGGCGAGAGACCGAUAGCGAACAAGUACAGUGAUGGAAAGAUGAAAAGAACUUUGAAAAGAGAGUGAAAAAGUACGUGAAAUUGUUGAAAGGGAAGGGCAUUUGAUCAGACAUGGUGUUUUGCGCCCUCUGCUCCUUGUGGGUGGGGGAAUCUCGCAGUUCACUGGGCCAGCAUCAGUUUUGGUGGCAGGAUAAAUCCGUAGGAAUGUAACUUGCUUCGGGAAGUAUUAUAGCCUAUGGGAAUACUGCCAGCUGGGACUGAGGACUGCGACGUAAGUCAAGGAUGCUGGCAUAAAGGUAUAGUCCGAUGGG
rnacentral:rRNA from 1 species